rnacentral:rRNA from 1 species
UACCGCGGUUAUACGAGAGGCCCAAGUUGAUAGACACCGGCGUAAAGAGUGGUUAAGGAUAAACUACUACUAAAGCUGAACACUUACAAAGCUGUUAUACGCUCCCGAAAGUAGGAAAAACAACUACGAAAGUGGCUUUACACUACCUGAACCCACGAAAGCCAAGGCA